GAUGAACGCUGGCGGCGCGCCUAACACAUGCAAGUCGAACGAUUAAAGCACCUUCGGGUGUGUAUAAAGUGGCGAACGGCUGAGUAACACGUGGGCAACCUGCCCCUCUCAUUGGGAUAGCCACGGGAAACCGUGGAUAAUACCGAAUACUUCGAGACUUCCGCAUGGAAGACUCGAGAAAGCUCCGGCGGAGAGGGAUGGGCCCGCGGCCUGUUAGCUUGUUGGUGGGGUAACGGCCUACCAAGGCAAUGAUGGGUAGCUGGGUUGAGAGACCGACCAGCCAGAUUGGGACUGAGACACGGCCCAGACUCCUACGGGAGGCAGCAGUGGGGAAUCUUGCACAAUGGGCGAAAGCCUGAUGCAGCGACGCCGCGUGCGGGAUGAAGGCCUUCGGGUUGUAAACCGCUUUCAGCAGGGACGAGGCGAAAGUGACGGUACCUGCAGAAGAAGCCCCGGCUAACUACGUGCCAGCAGCCGCGGUAAUACGUAGGGGGCAAGCGUUAUCCGGAUUCAUUGGGCGUAAAGCGCUCGUAGGCGGUCUGUUAGGUCGGGAGUUAAAUCCGGGGGCUCAACCCCCGUUCGCUCCCGAUACCGGCAGACUUGAGUUUGGUAGGGGAAGGUGGAAUUCCUAGUGUAGCGGUGGAAUGCGCAGAUAUUAGGAAGAACACCAGUGGCGAAGGCGGCCUUCUGGGCCAUAACUGACGCUGAGGAGCGAAAGCUAGGGGGAGCAAACAGG
rnacentral:rRNA from 1 species